AGAGUUUGAUCCUGGCUCAGGACGAACGCUGGCGGCGUGCCCAACACAUGCAAGUCGAGCGAUGAAACCCUUCGGGGUGGAUUAGCGGCGGACGGGUGAGUAACACGUGGGUAACCUGCCUCAAAGAGGGGGAUAGCCUCCCGAAAGGAAGAUUAAUACCGCAUAACAUUAGUUUUUCGCAUGAAGGACUAAUUAAAGGAGUAAUCCGCUUUGAGAUGGACCCGCGGCGCAUUAGCUAGUUGGUGAGGUAAAGGCUCACCAAGGCGACGAUGCGUAGCCGACCUGAGAGGGUGAUCGGCCACAUUGGAACUGAGACACGGUCCAGACUCCUACGGGAGGCAGCAGUGGGGAAUAUUGCACAAUGGGCGAAAGCCUGAUGCAGCAACGCCGCGUGAGUGAUGAAGGCCUUCGGGUUGUAAAGCUCUGUCUUUGGGGACGAUAAUGACGGUACCCAAGGAGGAAGCCACGGCUAACUACGUGCCAGCAGCCGCGGUAAUACGUAGGUGGCGAGCGUUGUCCGGAUUUACUGGGCGUAAAGGAUGCGUAGGUGGAUGUUUAAGUCAGAUGUGAAAUACCCGAGCUUAACUUGGGUGCUGCAUUUGAAACUGGACAUCUAGAGUGCAGGAGAGGUAAGUGGAAUUCCUAGUGUAGCGGUGAAAUGCGUAGAGAUUAGGAAGAACACCAGUGGCGAAGGCGACUUACUGGACUGUAACUGACACUGAGGCAUGAAAGCGUGGGUAGCAAACAGGAUUAGAUACCCUGGUAGUCCACGCCGUAAACGAUGAGUACUAGGUGUAGGGGGGGUCCACCUUCUGUGCCGCANUUAACACAAUAAGUACUCGCCUGGGAAGUACGAUCGCAGAUUAA
rnacentral:rRNA from 1 species